GACAGUUUGCCCGAGUGGUCUAAGGGGGUGGACUCAAGUUCCACUAGCGCAAGCUGCGUGGGAUCAAAUCCCAUAGCUGUCA
rfam:Symbiodinium microadriaticum strain CCMP2467 Smic.scaffold371, whole genome shotgun sequence.